rnacentral:rRNA from 1 species
UCCAGAAACAAACCGCUGGGCGGCCAGGCCUUAACAACAUGCAAGUCGAGCGCCAGUCUCCGGACCGAGCGGCGGACGGUUAGUUACGCGGUGGACAUAACCUUUUUUACAGAAAUAGCCCUUCGGAAAACUUAGAGUAAUAUCCGUAUAAAGCCCUUCGAGGAAAGAUUUUUUCGGAAAAGAUUGGCCCCGUUUGGUUUAAUAGUUUGGUGGGGUUAUGCCUUACCAAGGUUACGAAUCUAUAGGUGGUUUUAGGGAUGAAUCAGCAACAUUGGGACUGAAGCACCGGCCCAGAAUUCCUAACGGAGGCAGCCAGUGGGGAAUUUUAGACCAUUGGCGGCAAGCCUGAUCUAGCCAUGCCGCGUGUGUGGAUGAAGGUCUUAGGAUCGUAAAGCACUUCGCCAGGGAUGAUAAUGACAGUACCUGGUAAAGAAACCCCGGCUAACUCCGUGCCAGCAGCCGCGGUAAUACGGAGGGGGUUAGCGUUGUUCGGAAUUACUGGGCGUAAAGCGUACGUAGGCGGAUCAGAAAGUUAGGGGUGAAAUCCCGAGGCUCAACCUCGGAACUGCCUCUAAAACUCCUGGUCUUGAGUUCGAGAGAGGUGAGUGGAAUUCCAAGUGUAGAGGUGAAAUUCGUAGAUAUUUGGAGGAACACCAGUGGCGAAGGCGGCUCACUGGCUCGAUACUGACGCUGAGGUACGAAAGUGUGGGGAGCAAACAGGAUUAGAUACCCUGGUAGUCCACACCGUAAACGAUGAAUGCCAGUCGUCGGGCAGUAUACUGUUCGGUGACACACCUAACGGAUUAAGCAUUCCGCCUGGGGAGUACGGUCGCAAGAUUAAAACUCAAAGGAAUUGACGGGGGCCCGCACAAGCGGUGGAGCAUGUGGUUUAAUUCGAAGCAACGCGCAGAAUCUUACCAACCCUGACAUCCUGUGCUAACUCGAGAGAUCGAGUGUUAACUUCGUAACGCAGUGACAGGUGCUGCAUGCUGUCGUCAGCCUCGUGUUCUGGAAUGUUCCGGUUAAGUCCGGCAACAACGCAACCCACAUCCUUAGUUGCCAGCAGUUCGGCUGGGCACUCUAGGGAAACUGCCCGUGAUAAGCGGGAGGAAGGUGUGGAUGACGUCAAGUCCUCAUGGCCCUUACGGGUUGGGCUACACGCGUGCUACAAUGGCAGUGACAAUGGGUUAAUCCCAAAAAGCUGUCUCAGUUCGGAUUGGGGUCUGCAACUCGACCCCAUGAAGUCGGAAUCGCUAGUAAUCGCGUAACAGCAUGACGCGGUGAAUACGUUCCCGGGCCUUGUACACACCGCCCGUCACACCAUGGGAGUUGGUUCUACCCGACGACGCUGCGCUAACCCUUCGGGGAGGCAGGCGGCCACGGUAGGAUCAGCGACUGGGGUGAAGUCGUAACAAGGUAGCCGU